rnacentral:rRNA from 1 species
ACCUGCCUCUGAAACUGCAUGGCUUGAGACCGGGAGAGGGUGGUGGAAUUCCUAGUGUAGCGGUGAAAUGCGUAGAUAUUGGAGGAAACACCGGUGGCGAAGGCGACCACCUGGACCGGUUCUGACGCUGAGGCGCGAAAGUGUGGGGAGCAAACAGGAUUAGAUACCCUGGUAGUCCACACUGUAAACGAUGAGCACUCGGUGCUGCGGGUAUCGACUCCUGCAGUGCCUUAUNUAACCCGUUAAGUGCUCCGCCUGGGGAGUACGGUCGCAAGGCUGAA